rnacentral:rRNA from 2 species
UGCGGACAGUGUCUGGUGGGUAGUUUGACUGGGGCGGUCUCCUCCUAAAGAGUAACGGAGGAGCACGAAGGUUGGCUAAUCCUGGUCGGACAUCAGGAGGUUAGUGCAAUGGCAUAAGCCAGCUUGACUGCGAGCGUGACGGCGCGAGCAGGUGCGAAAGCAGGUCAUAGUGAUCCGGUGGUUCUGAAUGGAAGGGCCAUCGCUCAACGGAUAAAAGGUACUCCGGGGAUAACAGGCUGAUACCGCCCAAGAGUUCAUAUCGACGGCGGUGUUUGGCACCUCGAUGUCGGCUCAUCACAUCCUGGGGCUGAAGUAGGUCCCAAGGGUAUGGCUGUUCGCCAUUUAAAGUGGUACGCGAGCUGGGUUUAGAACGUCGUGAGACAGUUCGGUCCCUAUCUGCCGUGGGCGCUGGAGAACUGAGGGGGGCUGCUCCUAGUACGAGAGGACCGGAGUGGACGCAUCACUGGUGUUCGGGUUGUCAUGCCAAUGGCACUGCCCGGUAGCUAAAUGCGGAAGAGAUAAGUGCUGAAAGCAUCUAAGCACGAAACUUGCCCCGAGAUGAGUUCUCCCUGAGACUUAGAGUCUCCUGAAGGAACGUUGAAGACGACGACGUUGAUAGGCCGGGUGUGUAAGCGCAGCGAUGCGUUGAGCUAACCGGUACUAAUGAACCGUGAGGCUUAACCUUAC